UUGCCACUAAUUAUACGCAUCUUUGCCAAUAAUGGUACGCAACUUUAGCAAUUGUAGAAGGGUGUAUUCUUAAUUGUUGUGUCCUUUUUAUUGGGUUAUUGACGAUUUGCCAUAAUCUCGGUUAUCUCUAUCGAACGCGAUGAGGGUACUUGAUACCUCCCACUGCACAGACACCGAGUAAUUCUAUCCUCAAGUUUGGACAGAUGGGAAGAAAUUCCCUAGUGUUUUUGCCUAUACUAGAGAUGGAUUUUAUCUUGAAGACUAAAUCGAAAAGCCCUUUCAACCAGAAUUAUUUUCGUUAGGAGUAAUGGCUACUUCUUUAGAUCAAUUGAGGGAGUUUUUCGCAUGGUACAAUGGACUGGAAAAAUAUUGGUGACUGAUUUGGCUUUUAUUUGACAUGAUCUAUAAUUUUUUAUCGAGGUUUAUUGAGGAUUUUUUACAUAGCAGGACAUUUAUUUGUUAGUUGUAUGCAGUACUGUGGUGGAAAAUACUACUGAAGCUGUGUGAAUGCUCCAUCAUUUUGCCACAAAUAGGGUAAUAUUCAUGAUUUAGAAACACAUUUUAUGAUUGAUAUAUGGUAAUAUAAUAGAAGGCAAAGUUUAAGGUCCCGAUGUCAUAUUAAGAGAUCCAAGUCAUACUUAUUAUGCUCUAGCAUUAAUAUUAUAAUGUAGCAUGAAGAGUGUAUGAAGCAUAAUUUGAGAAUAAAAUGGGUAGUUUGACUUAAUCACAUCGGCCUUAGUCUAUCUUGUCCAAUCUCUCUAAUAGAGGAGAAAGAACUGUUGUUCUUAGAGAUAAAAACUACAAAUGAGAGAAGGCUUGAAACUUUCAAAUUUAUAAUUAAAAAGUGUUGUUGUUCUUACAGUCACACACUACAAACAAGAGAGGACUUAAAGCUUUCCUAUUCAUAAUUAACUAAUAAAAUUUGUGCAAUCUUUUAUCUAAUACUACCAUUCGAUUUGUUUAAAGUUCUGAUAAAUUUGUAAUUAUGCACUCUAUUAUUUUUGGUCCCCGAAUUGGUUGAAUCAAUGAAGGCUAUUGCUAAGAUGGAUGUCGAAUUGACAGUUGAGGAGAGGAAUUUGGUGUCAGUUAGGUAUAAAAAUGUAUUGGAGAAGAAAGGCUUCAUGGCGGAUAUUGUCUUUGAUUGAACAAAAGGAGGAGAGUAAGGGCCAUGAGCAGUGUUAAGAUAAUUAAGACUUACAGAAAGAGGGUUGAAUAUGAGCUUACGAAUAUAUGUAGUGACAUUUUGUCAGUGAUAGAUGAGCACCUUAUUCUUUGUUCCACUACCGGAGAAUCUACUGUGUUCUACUAUUAGAUGUGAGUUGCUGAUUUUUUCACUUGCUCUCUUUUCUUAUAUUUUCUCCCAUCUUUUUAUCUUGUUCUUCUAUUUUGGCAUGGCUCAUUAUUUGUGAAGGAGAUAAACACACAGUUGCUUUCUGAGUGACCCCGUUUUAGAUUACUGAAGUUAGUUGACUUUGUUUCUUUUGGUCCUUGAAAAUGAUUGAUGAACUUACAAAUUUACCUACUUUUACUUCACCACUAGGAAGGAAGAUUACUAACAUUAUUUAGCAGAUUUCAAAGCAGGGGAUGAUCUUAAUGAGGCUGCUGAUAGUCACUCAAAGCUUAUGAAGUUUCUUUUGUUCAAUACCUUCAGUUUUGGCUCAAAUGUUCUUCGACAUCUAUAUGAAAGAUCGGCAACAUUUGUUUCCUAUAUUUGUUGUUCAUAUUGCACAUUAUUUUGAAUUUAGUUUGCUUUUUGUCUUAUUUCUUUAUUUAGGUUAUUGCUCUACUUUUGUAGGCCGCUACUGCCAUCGCUAGUUCAGAUCUUGCUCCUGCUCACCCAAUCAGACAUGGACUUGCGUUGAACUUCUUAAUUUUCUACUAUGAGAUUCUGAAUUCACCUGAGAGAUUAGAGAUCAAUCUUAUGGACAAUAGAUAUAAAUGUUAUAACUAGAUGGAAGCUGUUAACUGACUAUUAGCCUUAAAGUAUAACUCUUGUUUCUCACCCGAGGGUGUGGCCUAGUGGUUAAUGAAGUGGGUUGAGAACCAUGAGGUUUUAGGUUCAAAAUCCCAGCAGAAACAAAAACACUAGUUGAUUUCUUCUCAUCUGUGUUACCUGUUACUGUGGGAGGUGGUAGUGAUCCUUUGGAAUUAGUCGAGGUGAGCGAAAGCUGACCCGGACACAAUAGUUAUGUUAAUAAAAAAGUAUACCUCUUGUUUCUUGUUUGUCA